rnacentral:rRNA from 1 species
UGGGGAAUAUUGCACAAUGGGCGAAAGCCUGAUGCAGCAACGCCGCGUGAGUGAUGAAGGCCUUCGGGUUGUAAAGCUCUGUCUUUUGGGACGAUAAUGACGGUACCAAAGGAGGAAGCCACGGCUAACUACGUGCCAGCAGCCGCGGUAAUACGUAGGUGGCAAGCGUUGUCCGGAUUUACUGGGCGUAAAGGAUGCGUAGGCGGAUUUUUAAGUGAGAUGUGAAAUACCCGGGCUUACUUGGGUGCUGCAUUUCAAACUGGGAAUCUAGAGUGCGGGAGAGGAGAAUGGAAUUCCUAGUGUAGCGGUGAAAUGCGUAGAGAUUAGGAAGAACACCAGUGGCGAAGGCGAUUCUCUGGACCGUAACUGACGCUGAGGCAUGAAAGCGUGGGUAGCAAACAGGAUUAGAUACCCUGGUAGUCCACGCCGUAAACGAUGAGUACUAGGUGUAGGAGGUAUCGACCCCUUCUGUGCCGCAGUUAACACAAUAAGUACUCCGCCUGGGAAGUACGAUCGCAAGAUUAAAA